GACAAUUUGACGCAGCAACAUGUAUUUUACGUUUUAGGAGUUGCAGAGAGGCUUGGAAAAGAAAAGGAGAAAGCUUUUUGCUUUGAUGAACAAGAAGCUCAGCUAGCAGCAACAUUCAACUUUGCUGAAUUAAGAAGAACCAGAGACCCCAUUAAUUUCAUGCAAUUGCCCAUAUCCAAUCCCCAUAAACAAAGCAGUUAAUUACACCUUGAACAGGAGAGCCAGAGCAAUUAAUCCAACCACCAUUGAAGAAGCUCCAGACCAGAGAGAGGUGACGAAUCUGAUGACUGAUAAGCACCCAGCUUCCUCGGAACCCAAUUGAAGAUGGUUCUCCACCAAAAGUCUCUGACUUUGAUCACUAUCAUCACCAUCCUUAUCACUACAACCUCCAUAGCCACCAUAGCCAGAGCUCAAAACUCAAGCUCCUGCAGCACCACAUGCGGAUCGGGAAAAUCAGCCAAGUCGGUUCAGUACCCAUUUGGGUUCUCCGAAGAAUGCGUAAUCCCAUUGACCUGUUCUGACAAAAACGAAAUCAAAUUCGGGGAAUUCACAGUCCAAAACGUAACCAGAAGCAGCAUCUUCGUCCACCUCCCUGCACAAUGUAACAGAAGGUACCAAUCCAUAGACCCUCUCUUCGGCCCAAACUUCGGCCCAAGCUUGAACAACAACCUUCUCUUCCAAAACUGCACAUCUCCACUCCCUGGCUGCCAAAUCCCA